CGGAGUCGCGAGCGUGACGGGCUUGCUUGGAGGGCACUUGGUGGCCGGUAGCACCAUAAAGGCCAUAAUUUGGUGUGUGGGUGUGGGGGUGUGUGUGUUAACGGCAUUGGUUUGAUUCACACUUCUGAUGAAAGAAGCCUGUUUAAAAAAGAAAAGAAAAAAGAAGCCUGUUUAAAGGGUGCAGGGUGUUACGAUUGUUAACGUGCAGUGGGCAGUUCACCUGCUACGCUAUCCAACAGGCGCCCUGCUCAGGCCCGACCUCGCACUGCCGCGCGGGCCGGUCCCCCCCGGCCCGGGUAACUGGGACGUCCUGGGAAAAUAAAUUAAUCACGUACGGAGUGAGAGAACAGGAAACCUGCCGAGAAAAAGAUCGAUAAGCAGACAAUUACACCAAGCCAACUUCAGUGCAAUCGUUAAAGCUUACACAUGGGUGCACGCUUGGGAGCCGUGAGCUACCAUGUUAAAAGGCCAACUUCCUAAGGAAAAAUGAUGGAAAGAGAUCCCGAGAUCCUAUGAAAUGGAAGAGGGAGGACAACCCAGCUAUCCCAACAUCCCAGCUGAGGCCAGCCACACACGUGACUGUCUGCAAAGCCCGUCGGGCCUGGGUCCAGCUCAGGUUGCAGAAUUGUUGGCAAGUAAAACGUUUGUUGUCGUUCUGACUCAAAAACAUGGAGACAAAGCAGACUUGUAGGGUAUUACAGUCAACAACUAGACCCUACAGCUAAAGGACUGUCUCCUUGCAUGAUGCAACAACCAUCACAGCUCUGCAAGAGCAACCAAACCACCAAGGAUGCGAUCACCCCUCACUGCCUUCGAUACGCAUUCUGUGGAAACGCUUCUAAACUUGCAUCACACUCAACACGAUCAGUUAGUAACUGGCUUCUCAUGAAGUUAUUCUCUCAGCCGCAUACUACAAUGUCCAGAUGUCAUCUAAAUCCUGCCACCCUCUCCCCCACCUUCAGCUGAAACGCUGCAUGACUGCAUCAUCUUACCUGACCAGCUCUCUCCUAGGACAGACAUGCAAGAACCCCCCUCACUAACGCUGAUGUUAUUUGGUUUACAGAUGGCUCUUACUUAAAGAUGCAGCUGGAAGGUAUUACACUGGUUAUGCCAUAGCGUCUUUGCCCAAAGAAAUAGAAAGUGCUUGUCUUCCAGGAGCAAUCAUCUCAACAAGCAAAGUUAAUAGCAUUAAUUAGAGCCUGUCAGUUGGCAAAAGGAAUAACUGCUAAUCUUUAUACCAAUAGCAGGUAUGCUUAUAGAGUAGCUCAUAACUUUGGAAUGCUAUGGAGACAAAGGAUUUUUAACCUUUUCUAGUCAGCCCACAAAAAAAUGGGUGCCUUGUUUCAGAAUUAUGGCAAGCCAUACUAUUGCCAAAAUCAUUAGCCAUUAUCAAGAUUCCAGGCCAUUCAAAGACACUCAAAAAAGCAAGAUAAGCCAGUUAGCAGGUAGUAUAGCAAACAGGGUGGCCAUAAACAUAUCUGAACAAAAAGAUCAAACCAUUUUGGCCUUUAAGGAAGUUAGAUUUUUAUGUAAAAUUAGCUCAAUCUAAAUCUCCAAAAACAGGACGAGAAAAUUGGGAAACAAAAGUGGCACAUGCGCUUCUGAGACUGAUGUACGGUUUGACCAAAUGUUCUACUCAUACUUCCAACUAAGUUACAACCAUCUUUCUUUUUUUUUUUUUCUUUUUCAGAUGGAGUCUCGCUCUGUUGCCCAGGCUGGAGUGCAAUGGCGUGAACUCCACCUCCUGGGUUCACGCAAUUCUCCUGCCUCAGCCUCUUGACUAGCUGGGACUACAGGCACCCGCCACCAUGCCGGGCUAAUUUUUUGUAUUUUUAGUAGAGACGGGGUUACACUCUGUUAGCCAGAAUGGUCUCGAUCUCCUGACCUCGUGAUGUGCCCGCCUCGGCCUCCCAAAGUGCUGGGAUUACAGGCGUGAGCCACCGCGCCCGGUCCAGCCAUCUUUCUUAACGUGCAUACACGAUGUGACUCACUGGAGCCCUGAUAAGAUUAUUGAUUUCUUGAGGAGAACAAUGUUGUCGGAAACCUUCUCCAACUGUUGCUCACGGGUAUACAGUCAGGGCUGUCUUCCCAGAAUAUAAUGCAAGGAAACCUUGACCCAGUUCUCCAUGUCAUUUUCCUUUACCAGAAGGCCCUUUCGAGGUAUGGCAACUAGAUUUUUUCAGCUACCACCAUCACAAAGAUACAGGCACAUCCUAGUGAUGGUUUGUGUAUUUUCUCAUGGGUAGAAGCAUUUCCAUGCAGAAGAGCAGCAGCCUUGGCGUGAGCUCCAAGAAGCAAAAACUCAAGGAACACAUACUUCAGCCAGGAGACUUUGUAGGAAACAGCAUCCUUUAAAGGACUUUCUCCACCAAGGAGGAAGGAACCUUAUCAGGGACUCCUAACCAACCCUUGUGCCACUAAGCUUAAAGGAGUUGAUUCCUGGAUACCUGCCACCCAUGCAAGGAAAGCUGCUUUGUCAAUUUGGACUUCAUCUCAAAUUGGUGAUCUAAAACUAAAACUCUCCAGAACCAACAAGGAUGAGAAGAAAACAACAUGUGAGGCGAUCAGCCUUCUCAAGACACCUGACCAGGCCUGUAUCUAGACAAACCCUUAAUAUAAUCAUCGUCAGUAGAUGAGGAAGGUCUUCCUUUACAAGUUCCCACCACACUUCCUUCUUUUUGUCCCUAGUUCUUCUGUUUUGUUGCUACCAUCACCAGCCAUUGCCCAUGAAACAAACAUCUUCUUGCAGUAGGCUUGGGCCUGUGCUAGUAAAUUACAGGACAACACUCGUUAGGUGUGUGGCCUUGCGCCCCUUUCUGGUGGUUCUGGCCUACCAUGGUGGCAGCUCCUCUUCAAGGACAAGAGUAGACAGAAUAUCAGAAAUGUGUCUGUGUUUCUCAGGACAGUCAUUGGUGCUUAGCACUAGUAUGAUGAAGGCAAGUGUGCAUCACUGGCCUAUGAAUGAUACUUUACAAAGCAAAAGCCAUAGGAAGAGCUUUCCAGUAAAAGUCCACAUACCUUAAUGCUGGUACUACACCAGCUGAGAGAUUAGACCACUCAAUAUCGGGAUGGCAUAACACAAACUUGGGAUGGUUUCACCUGACUUACCCUCUCUUUGGGUCAACUUAGUUCACGUGCCCCUUUACAUUGGGAACAAAAGAAUCAUAUCAAAGAUCCCUGGCCCAGGAGCACUGGAGAUACGGGAUGGAACCCAGAGAACAGUGCAUCUACACCAUUGUGUUACAGAGUCCUGGCUGGCAUGCCACUGAGUGGGCAUAGUGACCGGGUGUUUACUGGUUGGCUCCAGAUGGAACAUCUGGACUCUGUGAUAAUGACCUAUGGCCAUGGUUACCCCCAAGGUGGCCAGGACACCAUUCUCUGCAUUAUGCCUGGACAUAGGAUGGAAUAGUUCACAACCGACAUAGAUAGUAGAUAAAACUAGGUAGUCUGAAUAAUUCAAAGUAUGGACUUUGAUUCAUAAUGCUUCAAUACUGGUUCUUAAAUGUAACAAACAACACACUUUUAAUCUGUGCAUUGUGAGGUGCUGAGCGAGAGGGGCCGGCUGCCAGGUGCCGGGUGGUGGGUGGGUCAAAGGCCAAACGCAGGUUCCACCAGGCAGGUGUCACUCCCGGCAGGAGUAGAAACCAGAGGCCUCACUGAGAGUGCCAGCCCCCACCCUGGUGUUUCAUUUUCCCCCACGGCACUGGGUGAAGGUUAGGUGUGUCUGUGAAGACAGCAGUGAAGGGAUACUGUCUCACUGCCCAGAGAGCCCCUAACAAAAGGUUUCUGCCAUUCUAUGGCCCUGGAGUCAGGGGAAGAGAGAGAGGGAGGCAGCUGAGAGUGGAAAAGUGCUGAAUGCAAAGUCAGAGUGGGAAAAAUGUCUUCCAGGCCCCCUGAAAAGGAGGCUUUGGCAGAGGUACCUAAGACAGGCCUCAGCCAAGGGACCCAUGUGGUCUCGGAAGGGAGGUGCCUGGGUUGGGCACAGGGGAUACCCAGGGCACCCAGGUCCUUCCCCGCAACAGCCUUCAGACACGGCAGUGCACUGGCCACACACCAUGAGGCAGCCAGGUGGGGCCUUUGUCAUCACCCGUGGUCAGACCUGAAAGAUCCCACAGGGCAUUUGGGCUGCAGCCAGCCAACUUUCCAGGCAGCAUGUUGCAUUCCAACUCUGUUUCAAUAAAACUAGUUUCGAAAAAGAAAGAAACAUUUCAAAAUAUUGACGGGAUGCUGCUAAGUUUUGAUCGUUGCAUUAGAAAGAAAGAGAUUAAAGGAAUAGUUUAAGCUUCCGCACCAGGAAUCUAGAAAAGGAAAACCAAAUCAAGCUCAAACUAAGUAGAAGGAAGGGGAGUGAGAUCAGAAUGGAUGCUGGGCGCGGUAGCUCACACCUGUAAUCCCAGCACUUUGGGAGGCCAAAGUGGGUGGAUCACCUGAGGUCAGGAGUUUGUAACAAGGCUGGCCAACAUGGUAAAACCCCAUCUCUACAAAAAUACAAAAAUUAGCUGGGCGUAGUUGUACGCACCUGUAAUCCCAGCUGCUCAGGUGGCUGAGGCAAGAGAAUCACUUGAACCCAGGAAGCAGAGGUUGCAGUGAGCCACGAUGACACCACUGCUCUCCAGCCUGGGGGACAGAGAGAGAGACUUUAUCUAAAUUCCAAAACUUUGGGAGGCCAAGGGCAGAUCACCUGAGGUCAGGAGUUUGAGACCAGCCUAUCCAACAUGGUGAAACUCCAUCUCUACUAAAAACACAAAAAUUAGCCAGGCAUGCUGCCGCGUGCCUGCAAUCCCAGCUACUCGGGAAGCUGAGACAGAAGAAUCCUUUGAAACUAGUAGGCGGAGAUUGCAGUGAGCUGACACCAUGCCACUGCACUCCAGCCUGGGUGACAGAGCAAGACUCCAUCUCAAAAAAAAGAAAAAAAAAGAUCCGAAUGGCAAACAGUGACCUAGAAAACAGUAAGACAAAUACGGAAAACAGAAGAAACUAAAAGAAGUUGAUUCUAGGAAAACAAACUGAUCAGAUUUGCUAGACUGGACAAGCCAAAAGGAAAAGAAAAAAACAGAAAUAUGCCAAAUCAGGAAUAAAAGAAAUAACAUACAAGGGUCCAUGGUGAAACUAAAAAUAUCACAAAGAAAUUUUAAAAUGUUUAAAAAAAUAGAUAAUUUAGAUAAAAUGGACAAAUUCCUAAAGAGACAUAAAUUAUGAGCACUGACCAACAAUGAAUAGAAAAUUUGAACAGAUGUAUAAGUAACCAAGUUGAAUUAUAGUUAACUACAUGCCCACAAAGAAAAGAUCUGAGCCAAAUGGCUUCAUUGGUGAAUUUUCUCAAAUGCUUAAGAAACAAAUGAUAUCAAUCUUACAGGAAAUAGAGACAAAAUAACACUUCCCAAAUAUUUUACAAGGCCAGUAUUAACCUGAUACCAAAGCCAGGCAAACACAUCAUAAGAAAACUAUAAAAUGAGAAAGGUACAACUUUUUAACAAAGUGAUUGCAGAUUAAAUCCAGCAACAUGACCAAGUGGGGUUUAUCUGAGGAAUGCAAGGUUGGGCUAACAUCUGAAAGCCAAUUAAUGUCAUAACUCCUCAAUAGAAUAAAAGAAAAAAUCCAUAUGACCUUCUAAUAGCCACAGAAAAAGCAUUUGACAAAACCAACCCUUUCAUAAUAAAAACUCCCAACCUAAGACUACAAAGAAACUUUCACAACCUGAUAAAGGUCAUCUAUAAAAUAAACCUGCAGCUAUCUAAGUUUCAGAGAAUCAUCUUUUUGUCUUAUUUGUUUCCUCUGUUAUGUCUCUGCUUUUAUUUCAUUAAUCUCUUCAUUAUCUCCUUCAUUCUGUUUGCUUUGGGUUUAUUUGCUCUUCUAUUUCUAGAUUCUUGAGGUGAACACUUAGGUUAUUGUUUGAGACUUUUCCUCUUUUCUAAUGUAAACAUUUAGUGCUAUAAAUUUCUGUCUAAGCACUGCUUUGCUGAGCUUUUGAAUUUUGAUAUGUUGUAUUUUCAUGUUUAUUCUGUUGAGUGUACUUUUACGUAUUUCUCUUGAUCCUUAUUCUUUGACCCAUGGAUAAUGAAAAGUGUGUUAUUUCUUUUUCAUGUGUUUGGAGAUUUUCCUGUUAUUUUGUUGUUGAUUUCUAGUGGGGGUAAGAGAAGACAGACUAAGAUUUUAAUUCUUUUAAAUAUGUUGAGGUUUGUUUGAUAGUCAGAAGUGGUAUAUCUUUUUAUAUGUUUUGUGGGCACCUGAAAAGAAUAUAUAUUCUGCUGUUGUUGAUCGCCAUGUUCUCCAAAUACCCAUUAGAUCCAGUUGAUUGUUCAUAAGUUGUUCUCUGUCCUUGUGAAUUUUCUGUUUAGUUGUUCUAUCAAUUGGCGGGAAAGGAGAGUAGGGUCUCUAACAAUAAUUGUGGAUUGCUGUUUCUCUUUUGAGCUCUAUCAAUUAAUACAUUUUUUU
rnacentral:lncRNA from 1 species